UCCUCUCCCUUUCACUGACAUUUCUCUACCCCUCGCUCUCGAUCUAACACGGUUCAGGUCCCCCCCUCUGUCUCCAUACGUCUGUCAUGUUCCCCUUUCUCUGUGGAACAGAGGUUAAGGUUACUCUCUCACCCUCCCCUGUAACAGAGGUUAAAGUUACUCUCUCACCCUCCCCUGUAACACAAGGUUACUGUCUGUAACAGAGGUUAAAGUUACUCUCACCCUCCCCUGUAACAGAUGUUAAAGUUACUCUCUCACCCUCCCCUGUAACAGAGGUUAAAGUUACUCUCACCCUCCCCUGUAACAGAAGGUUACUGUCUGUAACAGAGGUUAAAGUUACUCUCUCACCCUCCCCUGUAACAGAAGGUUACUGUCUGUAACAGAGGUUAAAGUUACUCUCUCACCCUCCCCUGUAACAGAGGUUAAAGUUACUCUCUCACCCUCCCCUGUAACAGAGGUUAAAGUUACUCUCUCACCCUCCCCUGUAACAGAAGGUUACUGUCUGUAAUAGAGGUUAAAGUUACUCUCUCACCCUCCCCUGUAACAGAGGUUAAAGUUACUCUCACCCUCCCCUGUAACAGGGGUUAAAGUUACUCUCUCACCCUCCCCUGUAACAGAAGGUUACUGUCUGUAAUAGAGGUUAAAGUUACUCUCUCACCCUCCCCUGUAACAGAGGUUAAGGUUACUCUCUCACCCUCCCCUGUAACAGAGGUUAAAGUUACACUCUCACCCUCCCCUGUAACAGAAGGUUACUGUCUGUAAUAGAGGUUAAAGUUACUCUCUCACCCUCCCCUGUAACAGAGGUUAAAGUUACUCUCUCACCCUCCCCUGUAACAGAAGGUUACUGUCUGUAAUAGAGGUUAAAGUUACUCUCUCACCCUCCCCUGUAACAGAGGUUAAGGUUACUCUCUCACCCUCCCCUGUAACAGAGGUUAAAGUUACACUCUCACCCUCCCCUGUAACAGAAGGUUACUGUCUGUGACAGAGGUUAAAGUUACUCUCUCACCCUCCCCUGUAACAGAAGGUUACUGUCUGUAACAGAGGUUAAAGUUACUCUCUCACCCUCCCCUGUAACAGAGGUUAAAGUUACUCUCUCACCCUCCCCUGUAACAGAGGUUAAAGUUACUCUCUCACCCUCCCCUGUAACAGAGGUUAAAGUUACUCUCUCACCCUCCCCUGUAACAGAGGUUAAAGUUACUCUCUCACCCUCCCCUGUAACAGAGGUUAAAAUUACACUCUCACCCUCCCCUGUAACAGAAGGUUACUGUCUGUGACAGAGGUUAAAGUUACUCUCUCACCCUCCCCUGUAACAGAAGGUUACUGUCUGUAACAGAGGUUAAAGUUACUCUCACCCUCCCCUGUAACAGAGGUUAAAGUUACUCUCUCACCCUCCCCUGUAACAUAAGGUUACUGUCUGUAACAGAGGUUAAGGUUACUCUCUCACCCUCCCCUGUAACAGAGGUUAAAGUUACACUCUCACCCUCCCCUGUAACAGAAGGUUACUGUCUGUAACAGAGGUUAAGGUUACUCUCUCACCCUCCCCUGUAACAGAGGUUAAAGUUACACUCUCACCCUCCCCUGUAACAGAAGGUUACUGUCUGUAACAGAGGUUAAGGUUACUCUCUCACCCUCCCCUGUAACAGAGGUUAAAGUUACACUCUCACCCUCCCCUGUAACAGAAGGUUACUGUCUGUAACAGAGGUUAAAGUUACUCUCACCCUCCCCUGUAACAGAGGUUAAAGUUACUCUCUCACCCUCCCCUGUAACAGAAGGUUACUGUCUGUAACAGAGGUUAAAGUUACUCUCUCACCCUCCCCUGUAACAGAAGGUUACUGUCUGUAACAGAGGUUAAAGUUACUCUCACCCUCCCCUGUAACAGAAGGUUACUGUCUGUAACAGAGGUUAAAGUUACUCUCUCACCCUCCCCUGUAACAGAAGGUUACUGUCUGUAACAGAGGUUAAAGUUACUCUCUCACCCUCCCCUGUAACAGAAGGUUACUGUCUGUAACAGAGGUUAAAGUUACUCUCACCCUCCCCUGUAACAGAAGGUUACUGUCUGUAACAGAGGUUAAAGUUACUCUCUCACCCUCCCCUGUAACAGAAGGUUACUGUCUGUAACAGAGGUUAAAGUUACUCUCACCCUCCCCUGUAACAGAAGGUUACUGUCUGUAACAGAGGUUAAAGUUACUCUCUCACCCUCCCCUGUAACAGAAGGUUACUGUCUGUAACAGAGGUUAAAGUUACUCUCUCACCCUCCCCUGUAACAGAAGGUUACUGUCUGUAACAGAGGUUAAAGUUACUCUCACCCUCCCCUGUAACAGAAGGUUACUGUCUGUAACAGAGGUUAAAGUUACUCUCUCACCCUCCCCUGUAACAGAAGGUUACUGUCUGUAACAGAGGUUAAAGUUACUCUCACCCUCCCCUGUAACAGAAGGUUACUGUCUGUAACAGAGGUUAAAGUUACUCUCU